AGGUGUAUUCCUAGGAGUGGAGUUGAUGAGCAAUAUGGCAGAAGUCCGCAGAAGGCCGCAGAACUCCGCAGAAGGCCGCAGAACUCCGCAGAAGGCCGCAGAACUCCGCAGAAGUCCGCACACAGUAAGGAAGUUGCCUCCGCGUCCAGCCCGCUGAUUGAGCAGGCCGAGAGCCAAUGCGCAAAGAAGGUCCGUUUCCGUUUGUUUUCCUCAUACUUUUCCUUCUUUCUGACCAGUAAGCCACAGAGUUAUGGAAAAGGCUGGGGAAGAAUCUGUGGCCGAGUCCUUCUUCCCACAGGUCCACUAAUUAUGGAGAACCAAAGUUUUUUCUUAAAACUGACGGGACAAUCGAUGAACCUGACCACUGCAGACAUGGACUUCCCUAAACUUCAAUCUGUGGAGAGAGGCCUCAGAGUCUUCACUCGCUAUUUCAUUUUCAGGCUCCUUCCAGCAAAAUAAAAGUAAAAACAACAGCUAUUUGAUGGCUCAUUGCCUUUGUUUCCCUGGUAG
rnacentral:lncRNA from 1 species